rnacentral:rRNA from 1 species
GAUGAACGCUGGCGGCGUGCUUAACACAUGCAAGUCGAACGAUGAAGCCCAGCUUGCUGGGUGGAUUAGUGGCGAACGGGUGAGUAACACGUGAGUAACCUGCCCUUAACUCUGGGAUAAGCCUGGGAAACUGGGUCUAAUACCGGAUAGGAGCGUCCACCGCAUGGUGGGUGUUGGAAAGAUUUAUCGGUUUUGGAUGGACUCGCGGCCUAUCAGCUUGUUGGUGAGGUAAUGGCUCACCAAGGCGACGACGGGUAGCCGGCCUGAGAGGGUGACCGGCCACACGGGGACUGAGACACGGCCCAGACUCCUACGGGAAGCAGCAGUGGGGAAUAUUGCACAAUGGGCGCAAGCCUGAUGCAGCGACGCCGCGUGAGGGAUGACGGCCUUCGGGUUGUAAACCUCUUUCAGUAGGGAAGAAGCGAAAGUGACGGUACCUGCAGAAGAAGCACCGGCUAACUACGU